CCCCAAUGAGGUUUGUAUUAGGAGAGGAAGCGAGGGCAGAUGCCGGGUGGAGUGGAUUACCCGUAAAACGUCAAGUGGCCAGCAGGUGGCCGAGGAAGUUGCUCCCAUGUGACGGCCACGUGUUGUUGAAGCUACGAGAAGGUGAGAAGAGAGACAGACAUCAUGCUCCAGACUCUGGCCCUGCAAGUCGCGUUGGGUGAGGCUGUGCUCUUGAAAAUGCCAAAAAUGGAAACUAGAAAACACACAUUUCGUUUUGGAGCAGGUAAGAAAAUAUGUUCAAAUUUAUGCAAAGUACCAUACCUUCAAAUACAUUCGAGUUAACUGCAAGCAAUAGGAACACGCUCGUUUGGUACUCUCCACAAGUGUGUUGAGACAUUUUAACCAAUAGAGGGCAGCAGACUAUUGUGCACACGCAUAGCUGUAUUUCUCGUGCGUGUGUGUGCGCAUGGGUUUGUGUGGCCCUUUAUGGAGGCAGCUUUCCAAAAGUCAAAGGUUAGCUACACGAGGGCAAACCUGCCAUUUAAUGAGUUAGUCAAUAAAUAACCAGAGAAAAGUAACGUUGUGAGACUCUUCCUUAUUGUUGGAUGCCUGCAAGCACCCCCCCAACCCCUUGCAUUCCCACUGGUACACUUUGCAGACCAAGGUCAAGGUUUCAUUAAAUAUGAUUUAAAAAAACAAAACACUGAUGUUCUUUCCACAGAGGCUAUCAGCAUCUGCGGUGAUAAAUAGAUAUUAAAAUCCACGCAGCCGCCACGCUUUUAUUGGCCGUGUCGGCGCCAGAUAAAUGAUGAAGUCACUCAAAUGCAGCCGGGCGAAGGCACAAGAAGAACGGGCGGCAUAUCUAAAAACACAAUCUCGAUUAUAUUUCGGCCAAUGAGCUGCAUUUGAUUAUUUGUACAGUUUACAUCGGCACAAAUUCUCCACCUACUAUAUACAGACAGACAGACAGACAGACAGACAGAUAGAUAUAGAUAGAGAUAGAUA